rnacentral:lncRNA from 1 species
AUACGAUAUUAAUGAGAAUGCUUAAAAAGAUUAUCUUCUGUGGGAUGACAUAAUACGAGAUGAUUGCAAUUUUUGUUUCUAAAAAGUAGAUGGAGAGAUUAAGAUAAAUUAUGGAAUAGAGUCAAUCAUGGUGAAUUAUCACUAAAUUCAGCCAAAAGUUUGCUUGAAGUCUGUUGCACCUCUAUGUUCUGUCCAAGUCACUUAUGACAAUAAAAUGAGAUUUGAACAGAGGAAGCUUUUCAGGUUACUUUCCAACCAAAUGACAAUCCAAAACUACUAAACUUUCACUGCAAAACAGUGACAGCAGAUCAUGAGAAAGCUUUAUGUAGCCAGGCAUAGGCUUCCCUAGGAGUGUCUGGGACAUGCUCCUUCAUGUUACUAGAGGCAUGUGCUUUGCAUGCCCAUCAGGUCUGCGAAAGGCAGAGAGAGUGAGCUGGGGAUGUCAAGUAUGUGCUUCCAAGUGCAUGAUCAAGGGGAGGCUGGGGGAGCUUCAAGAAAGAGCAUUGGAAAUUUCAUCCAUCUUUAACACUGCAGAUGCAAGCCUGCAUCUUAUUUGGGGGGCUAAUCCAACCCAGAGGGUGUCAACAGCACAUGCAGCUCUUCGUGAUCCUGGAGCAGGAGCAAGCAAAUCUUGCUCUCAGUGAAAUUGUAGCAAAGAACCUCAGACUUGAUCAAAUCUGUUUGCCCUUCUCCCCCUGAUCCUCUGGAGCAGUAAUUGGAUUGUUGUAUAAAACUAGUGAAAAUAGCAUUUUCCAUUUUCAAGCAUCAAAGAUCUUCACAAGUAUUUAUUGAUUGCUGUCUCUCAUGAAUCAUCUUUGAAGCAGGCAAGGUCUGUUACAUCUGUUUAACCAAUGGAUAAACAAGCCUUGGGGUCUCUCAUAGAGCUUGAAUGACAUUCUGGCAUCGAUAUUUCCAUUAAAUUCCAUCUUUCAUGUCAAACUCUUACAGAAGACUUCAUCCUACUCUGCCAAGCCUGGAUCUGGACUCCACAGUCCAUGACUAUUACUACUGUCAGUGUUAGCUCAACACAUUGCAGCAGAGUGCAGACACUGCACAACCAAGGACAUGCACAAUGAUGGUUUUCUUCUUAUCUCUCCAUGCUGUCGUAGAGGUGUCAGCAAACUGCUACUGGACAGGCUUUCAAGCAUUGGCUGGGAUGAGCUGCACAGGGUGACACAGGCCAUAAAAUGUACAAGAAAGCCUUCAGCUGAAGUAAGUUGAGGCAGUCCCUCUGCACCCUCAUGCAGUGAGAGACCAAGCAGCUGGGUUCCCAUAUACCUACUUGACCUCCCUUACCUCCUGCAGUUUAAUAAUUUCCAUACAUUACAUAAUUGUCCAGGAACUUUCAAGGGGAAAUUAAACAUUUUGGACUUUACACAACUGAAAUAAUUUGUUGGAAUGAUUUGAAAUGUUUUCUUUUGAACCAUUUUGGCUGUUAUUCCCUCCCAGGUACACAUAACUGAAGAUGACCUACCAGUCUUCUCCAUCAGGAACCAUGUUACUUGGGUGGGUGCACACAUAUAUCAC